rnacentral:misc_RNA from 1 species
GAUGAAGAACGUAGCGAAAUGCGAUAAGUAAUGUGAAUUGCAGAAUUCAGUGAAUCAUCGAAUCUUUGAACGCACAUUGCGCCCAUUAGUAUUCUAGUGGGCAUGCCUGUUCGAGCGUCAUUUCAACCCUUAAGCCUAGCUUAGUGUUGGGAGACUGCCUAAUACGCAGCUCCUCAAAACCAGUGGCGGAGUCUGUUCGUGCUCUGAGCGUAGUAAUUUUUUAUCUCGCUUCUGCAAGCCGGCCAGACGACANNNAUAAACCGCACCCUCUCGGGGGGCACUUUUUUAAUGGUUGACCUCGGAUCAGGUAGGAAUACCCGCUGAACUUAAGCAUAUCAAUAAGCGGAGGA